rfam:Bacillus halodurans C-125 DNA, complete genome.
AUAAAAAAAUCCCCGUAAGAAUUGAUCUUACGGGGUGCCCGUGAUCAUACGUUCUGUAUGUACGAGGCUAUGGGAGAGGAGAAACCGGAGGAAGAACUUAUGGGGAAACGUAAGCCUUCUCCGCGG